rnacentral:rRNA from 1 species
UUUAACAAAAACAUGUCUGUAUGAUUGUUAUAUAGAGUCUGGCCUGCCCACUGAUUUAUUAAAGGGCCGCGGUAUCUUGACCGUGCGAAGGUAGCAUAAUCAUUAGUCUUUUAAUUGAAGGCUUGUAUGAAUGGUUGGACAAAAAGUUAACUGUCUCAAUUAUAAAAAUUGAAUUUAACUUUUAAGUGAAAAGGCUUAAAUAUACUGAGGGGACGAUAAGACCCUAUAAAGCUUUACAAUAAAUUAAUUAAAUUAUAAAUUAUAAGUUUAACUUAAUUUAAUUAGUAUUUGUUUCGUUGGGGCGACGAGAAUAUAAU